AGCAGCCGCGGUAAUUCCAGCUCCAAUAGCGUAUAUUAAAGUUGUUGCAGUUAAAAAGCUCGUAGUUGAAUUUCGGGAUCAAUAUGUUGGUCGUGCCUUGGUACGUACUAAUUUAUUGGUUUCUUCCUUCUGACGAACCAUGAUGUCAUUAAUUUGGUGUCUUGGGGAAUCAGGACUGUUACUUUGAAAAAAUUAGAGUGUUUAAAGCAGGCUCACGCUUGAAUACAUUAGCAUGGAAUAAUGAAAUAGGAUGUUUGAUUCUAUUUUGUUGGUUUCUAGGAUCGACGUAAUGAUUAAUAGGGAUAGUUGGGGGCAUUAGUAUUCAAUUGUCAGAGGUGAAAUUCUUGGAUUUAUUGAAGACUAACUACUGCGAAAGCAUUUGCCAAGGAUGUUUUCAUUAAUCAAGAACGAAAGUUAGGGGAUCGAAGACGAUCAGAUACCGUCGUAGUCUUAACCAUAAACUAUGCCGACUAGGGAUCGGAUGAUGUUAAUUUUUAAUAGUACUCAUUCGGCGUCCUUA
rnacentral:rRNA from 1 species